CCUACGGGAGGCAGCAGUGGGGAAUUUUGGACAAUGGGCGCAAGCCUGAUCCAGCAAUGCCGCGUGAGUGAAGAAGGCCUUCGGGUUGUAAAGCUCUUUUGUCAGGGAAGAAACGGUGGGGGCUAAUAUCCUCCACUAAUGACGGUACCUGAAGAAUAAGCACCGGCUAACUACGUGCCAGCAGCCGCGGUAAUACGUAGGGUGCAAGCGUUAAUCGGAAUUACUGGGCGUAAAGCGUGCGCAGGCGGUUUUGUAAGUUUGUCGUGAAAUCCCCGGGCUCAACCUGGGAAUGGCGAUGAAGACUGCAAGGCUAGAAUCUGGCAGAGGGGGGUAGAAUUCCACGUGUAGCAGUGAAAUGCGUAGAGAUGUGGAGGAACACCGAUGGCGAAGGCAGCCCCCUGGGUCAAGAUUGACGCUCAUGCACGAAAGCGUGGGGAGCAAACAGGAUUGGAUACCCUGGUAGUCCACGCCCUAAACGAUGUCUACUAGUUGUCGGGUUUUAAUUAACUUGGUAACGCAGCUAACGCGUGAAGUAGACCGCCUGGGGAGUACGGUCGCAAGAUUAAAACUUCAAAUGAAAUUGACGG
rnacentral:rRNA from 1 species